GUUGAACGCUGGCGGCAGGCUUAACACAUGCAAGUAGAGCGCGCGGCGGACGGGUGAGUAAUGUCUGGGAAACUGCCUGCUGGAGGGGGAUAACUACUGGCAACGGUAGCUAAUACCGCAUACCAUCAGAUGUGCCCAGAUUGGAUUAGCUAGUAGGUGUGGUAAUGGCUCACCUAGGCGACGAUCCCUAGCUGGUCUGAGAGGAUGAAGAGCCACACUGGAACGGAGACACGGUCCAGACUCCUACGGGAGGCAGCAGUGGGGAAUAUGGCACAAUGGGCGCAAGCCGGAUGCAGCCAGGCCGCGGGUGUGAAGAAGGCCUUCGGGUUGUAAAGCACUUUCAGCGAGGAGGCGUUACUCGCAGAAGAAGCACCGGCUAACUACGUGCCAGCAGCCGCGGUAAUUC
rnacentral:rRNA from 1 species